CCUACGGGAGGCAGCAGUGGGGAAUUUUGGACAAUGGGCGCAAGCCUGAUCCAGCCAUGCCGCGUGAGUGAAGAAGGCCUUCGGGUUGUAAAGCUCUUUCGGCCGGGAAGAAAUCGUGUUCUCUAACAUAGGACAUGGAUGACGGUACCGGAAUAAGAAGCACCGGCUAACUACGUGCCAGCAGCCGCGGUAAU
rnacentral:rRNA from 1 species